UCCCUGGUGGCUCAGAGGUUAAAGCGUCUGCCUGCAAUGCGGGAGACCUGGGUUUGAACCUGGGUCAGGAAG
rnacentral:tRNA from 1 species